rnacentral:rRNA from 1 species
GACGAACGCUGGCGGCGUGCUUAACACAUGCAAGUCGAACGGUGAAGCGCCGUCCUUGUUGGUGGGAGGGGAGGAGUGGCGAAGGGAGGAGUAACACGUGAGUAACCUGACCCCACCUGCUGGAUAACCGCAAGAAAGUGUUGCUAAUACGGGAUAUUUUGGGUCGGUCGCAUGAUGGGUCUGGGAAGGAUUUGGUGUCGGUUGGGGAUGGGCUCGCGGCUUAUCAGCUUGUUGGUGUGGUGAUGGCCUACCAAGGCGGUGACGGGUAGCCGGCCUGAGAGGGUCGACGGUCCCACUGGUGCUGCGCCACCCACCCGCCUCCUGCGGGCGGCAGCAGUGGAGAUUCCUGCACGGUGGGCGCCCGGCUGGUGCAGCGCCGCGGCGUUGGGGAUGGUCUCCUUAGGGUUGUGCUCCUCUUUCGCCAGUGAAGCAGUCCUUAAUUGUUUGUGCGCGUCUUGACGGUACCUGGACAGGAAGCGCCGGCUAACUACGUG